AUAAGAGUGACUCUGUGCAGUUCUCUCACUUGUGGGGCUCAGAAGCAGAGCCUGCGGAGUCUCCACCAUGGCCUGGACCCCUCUCCUCCUUGCCCUCCUCGCUCACUGCUCAGGGUCCUUAGCGCAGGCUGGGCUGACGCAGGAAGCCUCCGUGUCAGGGUCUGUGGGACAGAAGGUCACCCUCUCCUGCACUGGAAACAGCAACAAUGUUGGAAGGUAUGGUGCAGGCUGGUACCAAGUGAUUCCUGGUGCUGCCCCCAAAACUGUGAUGCUCGGCACUUCUCGGCCCUCAGGGAUCCCAGGUCGGUUCUCCGGCUCCAAGUCUGGCAACACGGCCUCCCUGACCAUCAUGGGCCUCCAGCCUGAGGACGAGGCUGAUUAUUAAUGCUCAGCGUGGGAUUACAGCCUCAGUACUCACACAGUGCUGCAGGUCAGUGGGGAAGUGAAACAAUAACCCACAUUCUCAUCUUCCAGGAGAUUGAUCACCUAGAAGCUGCCAGCUCAGGCUCAGCCUGUGACUUCUGUUUAUUCUUUUGCUCAUGUCCUGCGUCCAUAUUCAUCCAGGGAGUGAAGCCUCCUCUAACUUCGCCCUCAAAGUCACUGGCAGUAGCCGCUUCCUAGGCAAAGGGUUCUGAGGAAAACAGAAAGUCGAUCUCCCAAACAGCUGGGGACAGUUUACUUCCAGACUGUUCACAUUCAUAUUUUCUUGUUAUGUUACGUUAAAUGGAACAUAUUCUUGGGCGCCUGAACCUAUCAUGUGACCUCAGAACUGUUAUUGUUGUGCUUGAAGGAUAAGUCAACCCCGUUUGCACUGACAUUUUGAUUGACUUAAACUCAACUAGUGCUGACUAAGUUUGUUUUCUGUUUUUUUACUCCAAUCCCCCACCCACUCCCCUUUGGCAUCGGCUUGCUCUCUAUAUCCGUGGUUCUGUUUUCGAUUAUUUUGUUGGUUUGUUUGUUUAUUUCGUUGUUUUAGAUUGCACAUGUAACUGAGACCGUCAGUAUUUUUCUUUCUCUCUCUGACUUAUUUCACUUAGUGUAAUACCCUCUAGUUCCAUCCAUGUUGCCUUUUUUGUGGCUGAAUAAUAUGCCAUUGUGCAUAUGUGUAUAUGUCACAUUUUUACAUAGUCAUGCGUUUAUGGACAUAUAGUUUGCUUCUGUAUCUUGCCUAUUACUUGUAAUGCCGCAAGGAACUUACGAAUGCACAUAUCUUUUUAAAUUAGUGUUUUUAAUUUUGUUUUCUGAUAUUUAGUGAAAACUAUGACAUUUAAAAAUUAUAAAACUAUCACAGAUUUGUGGUUUCCAGAGGUAACUGAAUGAAGGGAGUGGUUCAAGUGGGUGAAGGGAGUAAAAGGUGUAAACUUCCAGUCAUGAAAUAAAUAUUCCUGGGGGUGUACCUUAGAGCACGGCCACUAUGGCUGGUGGUACUGUAAUAUUACAUAUUUAAAUAUUGCUAAAAGAGUAGAUCUUACAAAGUCUCAGAAGGAGAAGAAAACAAUUCUGUCACUAUGUAUGGCAACAGAUGUUAA